UACAGAGGUCCCAAGCGUUGUUCGGAUUCAUUGGGCGUAAAGGGUGCGUAGGUGGCGCCGUAAGUCAGGUGUGAAAUCUCGGGGCUUAACUCCGAAACUGCAUUUGAUACUGCGGUGCUUGAGGACUGGAGAGGAGACUGGAAUUUACGGUGUAGCAGUGAAAUGCGUAGAGACCGUAAGGAAGACCAGUGGCGAAGGCGGGUCUCUGGACAGUUCCUGACACUGAGGCACGAAGGCCAGGGGAGCAAACGGG
rnacentral:rRNA from 1 species